rnacentral:rRNA from 1 species
UACAGAGGUCCCGAGCGUUGUUCGGAUUCACUGGGCGUAAAGGGUGCGUAGGCGGUUGGGUAAGUCUGAUGUGAAAUCUCCGGGCUCAACCCGGAAAUGGCAUUGGAUACUAUUCGGCUAGAGGUUUGGAGGGGGGACUGGAAUUCUCGGUGUAGCAGUGAAAUGCGCAGAUAUCAGGAGGAACACCGGUGGCGAAGGCGGGUCUCUGGGCAACAACUGACGCUGAGGAGCGAAAGCGUGGGGAGCGAACAGG